UACGAAGGGGGCUAGCGUUGUUCGGAUUUACUGGGCGUAAAGCGCACGUAGGCGGAUCGAUCAGUCAGGGGUGAAAUCCCAGAGCUCAACUCUGGAACUGCCUUUGAUACUGUCGAUCUGGAGUAUGGAAGAGGUGAGUGGAAUUCCGAGUGUAGAGGUGAAAUUCGUAGAUAUCUGGAGGAACACCGGUGGCGAAGGCGCAUCCGUGGACCA
rnacentral:rRNA from 1 species